GUAGGUGGCAAGCGUUGUCCGGAAUUAUUGGGCGUAAAGCGCGCGCAGGCGGUUCUUUAAGUCUGAUGUGAAAGCCCACGGCUCAACCGUGGAGGGUCAUUGGAAACUGGAGAACUUGAGUACAGAAGAGGAAAGCGGAAUUCCACGUGUAGCGGUGAAAUGCGUAGAGAUGUGGAGGAACACCAGUGGCGAAGGCGGCUUUCUGGUCUGUAACUGACGCUGAGGCGCGAAAGCGUGGGGGAGCAAACAGGAUUAGAUACCCUGGUAGUCCACGCCGUAAACGAUGAGUGCUAAGUGUUAGGGGGUUUCCGCCCCUUAGUGCUGCGGCUAACGCAUUAAGCACUCCGCCUGGGAUACGGCCGCAAGGCUG
rnacentral:rRNA from 1 species